rnacentral:rRNA from 1 species
AUUGAACGCUGGCGGCAUGCCUUACACAUGCAAGUCGAACGGCAGCAUAGAGAGCUUGCUCUCUGAUGGCGAGUGGCGAACGGGUGAGUAAAGCAUCGGAGCGUACCGUGUAGUGGGGGAUAACGUAGCGAAAGUUACGCUAAUACCGCAUACGCACUGCGGUGGAAAGCAGGGGAUCGCAAGACCUUGCGCUAUACGAGCGGCCGAUGUCAGAUUAGCUAGUUGGUAGGGUAAAGGCCUACCAAGGCGACGAUCUGUAGCGGGUCUGAGAGGAUGAUCCGCCACCCUGGGACGGAGACACGGCCCAGACUCCUACGGGAGGCAGCAGUGGGGAAUUUUGGACAAUGGGGGCAACCCUGAUCCAGCCAUGCCGCGUGAGUGAAGAAGGCCUUCGGGUUGUAAAGCUCUUUCGGCCGGGAAGAAAUCGCACAGGCUAAUACUCUGUGUGGAUGACGGUACCGGCAUAAGAAGCACCGGCUAACUACGUGCCAGCAGCCGCGGUAA